AUACGUAGGGGGCGAGCGUUGUCCGGAAUGAUUGGGCGUAAAGGGCGCGUAGGCGGCCCGGUAAGUCUGGAGUGAAAGUCCUGUUUUUAAGAUGGGAAUUGCUUUGGAUACUGUCGGGCUUGAGUGCAGGAGAGGUAAGUGGAAUUCCCAGUGUAGCGGUGAAAUGCGUAGAGAUUGGGAGGAACACCGGUGGCGAAGGCGACUUACUGGACUGUAACUGACGCUGAGGCACGAAAGUGUGGGGAGCAAACAGGAUUAGAUACCCUGGUAGUCCACACUGUAAACGAUGAAUGCUAGGUGUAGGGGGUAUCGACCCCUUCUGUGCCGCAGUCAACACAAUAAGCAUUCCGCCUGGGGAGUGCGGCCGCAAGGUUGAAACUCAAAGGAAUUGACGGGG
rnacentral:rRNA from 1 species